rnacentral:rRNA from 1 species
CCUACGGGCGGCAGCAGUGGGGAAUAUUGGACAAUGGGGGCAACCCUGAUCCAGCCAUGCCGCGUGUGUGAAGAAGGCCCUCGGGUUGUAAAGCACUUUCAGUGAGGAAGAACGCCUGGUGGUUAAUACCCAUCAGGAAAGACAUCACUCACAGAAGAAGCACCGGCUAACUCCGUGCCAGCAGCCGCGGUAAUACGGAGGGUGCGAGCGUUAAUCGGAAUUACUGGGCGUAAAGCGCGCGUAGGUGGCUUGAUAAGCCGGUUGUGAAAGCCCCGGGCUCAACCUGGGAACGGCAUCCGGAACUGUCAAGCUGGAGUGCAGGAGAGGAAGGUAGAAUUCCCGGUGUAGCGGUGAAAUGCGUAGAGAUCGGGAGGAAUACCAGUGGCGAAGGCGGCCUUCUGGACUGAUACUGACACUGAGGUGCGAAAGCGUGGGUAGCAAACAGGAUUAGAUACCCCAGUAGUC